rnacentral:tRNA from 1 species
GGGGCUAUAGCUCAGCUGGGAGAGCGCCUGCUGCUUUGGCACGCAGGAGGUCUGCGGUUCGAUCCCGCAUAGCUCCACCA